GGGGUCGUCUGGAAUUGACAGUAUGACAAAUUUUAUUUUUGCAUGUCGGGUGAUAUAGUAAACAUCCGAAAUCAAAUACUAUUACUUUUAAACGGCGAACGUACACACGAAUACGCUAUGGCAGUUUAAGUUCUAAGAACUUGAAUAGUCACAUCAUUAUUAGUUUACGAUCUUUGACUAAUUUUUAUGAUGUCAUAAAAAGAUCUACUAUUUAGAUAAUUCUACGAAUCUAUUUAGGAAAUCUAGUAGAUAAGGUUAGAUGUUGGUUGAUAUUUUCCUGCUCUAAUUCGAAAAUUAAAAAUUAUCUAAGCAUGUAGACGGAAUAUUAUUUCCAUAGCUGGACGCGGGUUCGAAUCCCGCCGACUCCACUA
rnacentral:tmRNA from 1 species